AAGUUAGCGAUGAUUAUAAAAAUAAUUCCUCGUUCUGACUUCCUUAAUUUGUAUAUGACAAAAUUCUUAUUAUAACCAUAGAAUCUAAGCUCC
rnacentral:snoRNA from 1 species